UACGAAGGGGGCUAGCGUUGCUCGGAAUCACUGGGCGUAAAGGGUGCGUAGGCGGGUCUUUAAGUCAGGGGUGAAAUCCUGGAGCUCAACUCCAGAACUGCCUUUGAUACUGAAGAUCUUGAGUUCGGGAGAGGUGAGUGGAACUGCGAGUGUAGAGGUGAAAUUCGUAGAGAUCGGGAGGAACACCUGUGGCGAAGGCGGCUCGCUGGGCCGGUCCUGACGCUGAGACGCGAAGGCGUGGGGAGCGAACGGG
rnacentral:rRNA from 1 species